GACGAACGCUGGCGGCGUGCUUAACACAUGCAAGUCGAACGGAAAGGCCUCUUUCGGGGGGUACUCGAGUGGCGAACGGGUGAGUAACACGUGAGUAACCUGCCCUUGACUUUGGGAUAACUUCAGGAAACUGGGGCUAAUACCGGAUAGGAGCUCCUGCUGCAUGGUGGGGGUUGGAAAGUUUCGGCGGUUGGGGAUGGACUCGCGGCUUAUCAGCUUGUUGGUGGGGUAGUGGCUUACCAAGGCUUUGACGGGUAGCCGGCCUGAGCGGGUGACCGGCCACAUUGGGACUGAGAUACGGCCCAGACUCCUACGGGAGGCAGCAGUGGGGAAUAUUGCACAAUGGGUGGAAGCCUGAUGCAGCAACGCCGUGUGCGGGAUGACGGCCUUCGGGUUGUAAACCGCUUUCGCUCAUGACGAAGCUUUGUGUGACGGUAGUGGGUAAAGAAGCACCGGCUAACUACGUG
rnacentral:rRNA from 1 species